rnacentral:RNase_P_RNA from 1 species
UAGGAAAGUCCAAUACUUAUUAGGCAUAUACACUUGAAUAUAUUUAUUCAAUAAUUAUAAAAAUAUAAGGAUAUUAACAGAAACUAAAAUUAUAUAAAAUACUUAUAAGUAAUAAUAAAAUAAUAGCGAACAAGAAUCCUAUGUUAAGUUUUUAUUUAGAAUUAUUAAAAUUAAACAGAAACUGGCUUAA